CCUACGGGUGGCUGCAGUGGGGAAUUUUGGACAAUGGGGGAAACCCUGAUCCAGCAAUGCCGCGUGUGCGAAGAAGGCCUUCGGGUUGUAAAGCACUUUUGUCAGGGAAGAAAUCCUUUGGGCUAAUACCCUAGGGGGAUGACGGUACCUGAAGAAUAAGCACCGGCUAACUACGUGCCAGCAGCCGCGGUAAUACGUAGGGUGCAAGCGUUAAUCGGAAUUACUGGGCGUAAAGCGUGCGCAGGCGGUUGUGUAAGACAGGUGUGAAAUCCCCG
rnacentral:rRNA from 1 species